rnacentral:rRNA from 1 species
UACAGAGGCCUCGAGCGUUGCUCGGAAUCACUGGGCUUAAAGGGUGCGUAGGCGGACAUACAAGUGCCUUGUGAAAUCCCAGAGCUCAACUCUGGAACUGCUUGGUAGACUGUGUGUCUUGAGGUCGGUAGGGGUCGCUGGAACAGUUGGUGGAGCGGUGAAAUGCGUAGAUAUCAAGAGGAACGCCAAAGGUGAAGGCAAGCGACUGGGCCAAUUCUGACGCUGAGGCGCGAAAGCGUGGGGAGCAAACGGG